rnacentral:rRNA from 1 species
GAUGAACGCUGGCGGCGUGCCUAAUACAUGCAAGUCGAACGAGCGAGAUCCAGCUUGCUGGAUUUAGCGAGUGGCGAACGGGUGAGUAAUACGUAAGCAACCUGCCUACACGGGCUGGGAUAACACCUGGAAACGGGCGCUAAUACCGGAUAGGUAAUGAGAAGGCAUCCUCUUAUUAUUAAAGGUUUGAAACACAAGUAGAUGGGCUUACGGUGCAUUAGCUAGUUGGUGAGGUAACGGCCCACCAAGGCGAUGAUGCAUAGCCGGCCUGAGAGGGUGAACGGCCACAUUGGGACUGAGACACGGCCCAG